UGUCCACGCCGCAGUUUGUUUGCCUGUCAAAAACUCAUAAUGAUUGAUUUGUUAAACUGUUUUAAUCGACCUGUCAACCCAUCGAUAAAAAAAAUGUUCAAUUCAUAAGAACAAAAACUCUGCCUUAUUUUAUAUGAAAUAUCGGAACAAGUUUUAGGCAUUUCUGUUUAUUCUAAUGUUUCCCAUUCAAAUUUAUUUAAUCUGACUCCUCAGUGUCCCGCAUUGCUAUUGCUCGACUCCAAUAAGAAGUCAAAGUUGAGCCCAAGCAUUAGCCGCACAAUUUCUCACAGCUAAAUUUUUAUUGGAAAAGCUACGUCAGUUGGUCAGAAGUAAUUGCGGGCGUGGCAUAAACAUUAAUUUUUCAUAAUUCUCGAAAAAAAAAAAUUACGCUUUAAAAUAAUGACAAAUCAGUUCGCAGAUAAACCCGCGACAGUAGAAAAAAAAAUUGGGAAAAAGAGUAAAAAAUUCAUGAUGGGAGCGAUAAAAAAUGAGUAAGAAAAGGGACACCCUUGGGCGGAGACGUCUGCCUGGCCAUAUCCUGCGGCCUGCCAAUUAGAACCCUUUGUUUGCCUGGAUCUCCUCCACAAGACGGCGCGCAAUCUCUAUCUCGACGCACUUAUCUCCAUAAUAAAGUCGUAACAAUUAAUUGCGCGACCUUUUCAAUGGCUGCGACUUAGCCCAAUCUGAGGCUCCUUCUUAAAGAUAUCCCUCAGACAGCAGGCCAGCCGUUUUAUUUUGAGCACCUUUCGGUUUGACGCAUAAUUAGUGCUUAAAAUUUAUUUGACGAGCCGGCAAUUAAUUUAAUGUAAUGUUCCAUUUUUAAGUUGGGCUUUUGAGUGAGCUUGAUGCGAGCAUAGACAAUGUUUCUAAAUGAUUCCAAAUUUCUAGCAUAUGUCACAUAUAAAUUAAGUGAAUUAUAUAAAAUAAAAUUAAAUUUUUAGCUUA